rnacentral:rRNA from 1 species
ACUCAAAGGAAUUGACGGGGGCCCGCACAAGCGGUGGAGCAUGUGGUUUAAUUCGACGCAACGCGCAGAACCUUACCAGCCCUUGACAUGGGCAGUAUGGGCCGGGGAGACCCGGUCCUUCAGUUCGGCUGGCUGCCACACAGGUGCUGCAUGGCUGUCGUCAGCUCGUGUCGUGAGAUGUUGGGUUAAGUCCCGCAACGAGCGCAACCCUCGCCUUCAGUUGCCAUCGGGUAGGGCCGGGCACUCUGAAGGAACUGCCGGUGACAAGCCGGAGGAAGGUGGGGAUGACGUCAAGUCCUCAUGGCCCUUACGGGCUGGGCUACACACGUGCUACAAUGGCGGUGACAAUGGGGUGCGAAGGGGCGACCUGGAGCCGAUCCCAUAAAAGCCGUCUCAGUUCGGAUUGUUCUCUGCAACUCGAGAGCAUGAAGGUGGAAUCGCUAGUAAUCGCGGAUCAGCACGCCGCGGUGAAUACGUUCCCGGGCCUUGUACACACCGCCCGU